AUGGAGCUGCUGGCACAUCAUGGCUUCCCGAGUAGGUUUCGAGGGUGGGUGUCGGCUCUCCUCUCCUCGGCCUCCUCCAGAGUCUUGCUAAAUGGUGUUGCCGGCGACCCAAUCAAGCAUGGAUGUGGCCUCCGACAGGGCGAACCUCUUUCACCGCUGCUCUUCGUGCUUGCCAUUGACCCGCUGCAUCGCAUCCUGGAGAAGGCCACCUCUCAAGGUCUGCUACAUCUGCUUGGCAGCCGCUUCACGGGCAUUAGGGCUUCUCUGUACGCUGAUGACGCGGCGAUCUUUUGUGCCCCCAUUAAGGAAGAUGUCAGCUUCAUUGCCAGCACGCUUACAUCCUUCGGCCAGUCAACUGGGUUGGUCACCAAUUGUGCAAAGAGUUUGGUUGCUCCCAUCCAGUGCGCCAACCUGGACCUUGAUGACAUUCUGCAACACUUCCCAGUGGGGCGAUCUUCCUUCCCAAUUCGUUACUUAGGCCUUCCGCUUGUGAUUCGGUGACUCAAAAGGAUUCAUUUGCAGCACCUUCUGGACAAAGCGGCCGGGAAGCUUGCACCAUGGAGAGGGAGGCAUGUGGCUAUUGCGGGCCGAAUGGCCUUGGUCAAGGCGGUUCUCACGGUGGUGGCCAUCUAUCAUAUAACUCCACUGGACCUUCCAGUGGAGGUGCUACAGAAGCUUGACAGGCUGAGGAAAGCUUACCUUUAG
rnacentral:rRNA from 1 species